UGCCAUCUUGAGAUGUUCCUGAGCCCCUCUAUCGAGACCUCCCUCGAGACCGCCCAUCUCGAUCUCCUGCUGAGACCCCCCUCGAGAUCCUAUCUUGAUUUGCUGUUGCUCGACAGCUCUCUUUGCAGGUUUUCUCUUACACAAUUGAAUGACCCACGGCUUAAAACACUUUUUCAGAGAGAAGAAAGCCCUAGAAACCCCACGGACC
rnacentral:lncRNA from 1 species